CAGGGGUGGCACUGGAUGGGCUUUAAGGUCUCUCCAACCCAAACCAUUCCAUAGAUCUGGGAUCUUUCUUAUCGCCUCCCUUCAGGCUUUUCCCUUAGGUCACCCCAAAGCUUCUCCUGUGCAGGUGAACAAUCCCAGCUGUGCCAGCCUUUCCUCCCAGCAGAGCUGCUCCAGCCCUCUGCCUCCUCUGGAAUUGCUCCAGCAGCUCUGUGUCCAUCUGCCACAAUGUGGUGCUUGCACACGAUGGAAGGAGUUCAGAUUCUUUUCUCUGUUUACUUUUUAAAAGCUGCAUAAUUGCACACAUCCAAUCUGCUUUAAAUGAGGACUAGGUUGCAAAAUCAAUACCACAUAAUGAGGAGCGUUAUUUCUUCUUCCUCUCCUUUGCAUCUGCAUAUGCAAAGCAGAUAAUUGCCUAUUUUCUUUUCCAUGUGGCUCUGUGCCACAUUUAUUUUUCAGGGUGGAGCCACUCUGGAGCUGUGUCAGGAUGACAUAGAGGAGGAGGCUGCUGUCUCCAGAAGUUUUUCCACAUUUGUUUCAGCAGACAGAAGAUGAGCAGUGAAUUUGCAGGGGAUCACGUGGAAAAGGAUGAGCUCUUGGGUUGAAACCAGCUGGGACGUGCCUUAGGAAGGGAUUGAAUCCCUCCUUCCUCACUUGGGUGAGGCUGCACAAAAGUGCUGAAUGAUCCCAGAUGGAAUAAAUUCAAUUGGUGCUACACAUGUGAAGUGCUCUGAAUGAGGAAUGCAGCAACUUCUUGAAAUACUCACUUGAGCUCUUCACUGUCUCAAACUGAGGAGCCAGAAUCUAAAGAACUUUCAAUUGCAGCAAGGAGAAUGAACAAUGGCCCAUUGAGUAACUACGAAGAACAGAAAGAACAGAGCAGAAUAUUUCAGUGAGUUGGGGUUUUUCCAGUCAGCCAGACCUGGCAGAAGCCAGCUGAGAGGAUGUGGAGGACUGGCUGAAUCCUAGAGGAAUCCACAAGGAAUCCCUUCCCACCCCUAUAAAAGGGAAGAGCAGGGACAGGUGCUGCAGUCACCUGAGUAAAAAACCAGCUUGGGCAAUGUCAGAGGAGAAAACAGCCCCAACUUGAAUUCCUGGAAAUUUCUGGAAACAAAUAACGAAACAAAGUUUUCUUUUGUGCAUGGGAAAUAAUGAAAAGAUAAGUGGAGGCCAAGAAUGAUUUGCCAGGAACAAAUCCUGCCCAGCCAGGCUCAUUUCCUCCCCUGACAAGUAGCAGCUCUUAUGGACAAUAGAUAUUGCAUAUCUUGACUGGAGUGAGGCUUUCAGCACAGCCUCCACUGAGGAACUAAAAUGAAACCAUUGUAAGCUGGACUCAGCUGUUUGAAACAUCAAAAAUCCUCCAAGAGAGUUUGUUGUUGAUGUGGAAAAAAUAUAGAAAGUGUUUUUGCAGAUGCCUUGCCCAGAGUUUGUGCCCUUCCCUGUUUUCCUUGUGUUUUGGAGGAUGAAGGAUCAAGUGGGGAAGUUCUACCAGAUUAACAUCUUGAUCCUUGAAGAAAUGGUGUGAAAACAGCAGGAUUCAGUGCAGGUGUAAAUUCAGAUUUAAAUAAGAAUAAACCCCCCAGUGGAAAGAACCAACAAGGCAAAAAACCUGGACGAAAAGCCAUGGGGAUUUUGGAAGAGCUUAAGCUCCCUGGGAAUCAAAAACAGUGUGGGAGAGCAAGGAUUGUCCUGAAAUGUCUAAACAGGCUGGUUGGGAUGUGUGGAAUAAUUCCUGCACUCCCACUCAGCCCUGGGGAGGUGUGAAAGUGAAAAACGAACGAUUCCCUUUGGUCACUGAACUCAGGAAACCCCAGCGUGGUCUCACAACUUCCUCACGAGGCCAAUUAGGGAAAGUCCUGAGAGCACAAAAAAGGUGCUGAAAGUCUUGAAAAAAAAGCUGACCCUGGAGGAAAAUCUCAAAGAAUUUGGUUUGGUUGUUUUAAUCUAGAGAAAAUAGGGCAGAGAAGAAACAUGAUACGAGUCUUCAAAUAUGUAACAGGUAGAAGGCAGCAGGAAACUCACAAUGCUUGGAGGGCAGCAGGGAGCUUAAACAAUAUCCAGAAUUGCAGUUUCUGCUGGAUUUAAGGAAAAACUUCCUAGUUAGGGAGUUAAGGAAGCCUUGGAGGGCAUUGAGGGUGUUAAGAGCAGCUGGAAAAGGCAUCACUGAUUAUUUGUAUGUUGGGGAACCCCUGAGGGAAGAAGCUUUGAGGCAAAUGUACCUAAAGAGCUGCAGAAAUGGAUUUGAAAGGCUCAGGUGACACCUGGAGCUGGAGACAUCCCGAGGGUGCUGUCCAUGGGUGAAGCAUCUCAGCUCCCAGGAAUUUCCUUCCAGCAACCUCAAAGCAGGAAAAAAAAAAAAAAAAAAAAAAGAAAAGAAAAAUCAGUUCUAAGAUGCAAACAUUGAAAGGUUUCUGAGCCCCAGAUCAUUCCUUGAGGUCUUUUUAUGCCUUCAGUGAUUGUAAACAGACACAGAUGGUGCCAGAAUGGCUGAAUUUCUGCUUCAGUGGUUUCCUGCCACAGGUGAGAAAAAGGAUGUUAAGCUUUGUUGGUGUCUUAUGCAAAAUAAAUAAAUAAAAAGGGAGAAAUAAAGAAAGAAAGGCAGGCAGAAUCCUGUGCAUUUCUGGCAAGAGGAGCCUGCAAUCCCAUCACCUGGGAGACAACCAGGGACUGGCACUGCUGCUCUGCCAGGGGAAUGAGAGGUUUUGUCAGGAGCCUGAGGGAUGGGCUUGGUUGGAUCCCUCUGCAAACGUUUAGGAGGCAACACUGUCACUGGUCACUGUCACUUGGUCUUGUCCUAGAGCCAAGGCAAGAAAAUGAGAAGCAGCAGAGGGACAAAGAGCUGGGA